rnacentral:rRNA from 1 species
GUGGGGAAUAUUGGACAAUGGGCGCAAGCCUGAUCCAGCAAUGCCGCGUGUGUGAAGAAGGCCUGCGGGUUGUAAAGCACUUUAAGCAGGAAAGAAGGCUUCGGAGCUAAUAUCUUCGAAGAUUGACGUUACCUGCAGAAUAAGCACCGGCUAACUCCGUGCCAGCAGCCGCGGUAAUACGGAGGGUGCGAGCGUUAAUCGGAAUUACUGGGCGUAAAGCGCGCGUAGGCGGUUUGCUAAGUCCGCUGUGAAAGCCCUGGGCUUAACCUGGGAACUGCGUUUGUGACUGCAAGACUAGAGUGUAGCAGAGGGGGGUGGAAUUCCACGUGUAGCAGUGAAAUGCGUAGAGAUGUGGAGGAACACCGAUGGCGAAGGCAGCCCCCUGGGUUAACACUGACGCUCAUGCACGAAAGCGUGGGUAGCAAACAGGAUUAGAUACCCUUGUAGUCC